rnacentral:misc_RNA from 1 species
AGCUUGUCUCUCAUUCAAGGCUAUUCUUCGGCGGAUGAAGAAGCACCACCGGAGGAUUACCGUAUCUCCUCCUCCUCCGAUGAUGAUUAUGAAUACGAUGAUUCGUCCGCCUCCGCCGUGUCCCGCGGCCGUUUGCUUUCCUACAAAUCAGUAUUGGACCAAUCCGCUCCGUCCAAUGGAUCGUCCGGUCUUCCCUCUGCGCUCGACGUCUUCUCCGAAAUUUCAGGACCUCCACAGUUUCUUAACAAUUGCGUUGAAGAGCAACCCAGCGCAGGAGGCGUUGAGCACCAGCUAGGUAGGCACGGUCGCUGGAGGAAUCGAAAGGAGAAGAAAGACUUACCUGCUGGUGUUGUAGUGGAGGCCAAAGCUCAACUUAUUGGAAUUCAUGAGCGAGUAAGAAGUGAUAUUGAGUCUAACCAGCCUCCAACAUCAUCAGUUCUUAGCACAACACAGGAGGCAGGAAAACGAGUGCCAACUGUGACCAAUCCCAAUGCAGAAGAUGCUGCGGAACUACUGAGGAUGUGCUUGCAAUGUGGAAUACCUAAGACAUACUCCAGUGCACGUGGAAUGGUAUGUCCUGUGUGCGGUGAUCGGCCGUUCGACACAAACAAAGAGCCCAAGAAAAAGGGUUCAACGAUUAAAGAUAAGGAAAAAAGUAAGAGGAUUAAGGGCCAGUCAUCUCACGCUACAUGGAAAAGUGAGACAGAGAUGCAACUCAGACAACAGUUUGAUUAGCAUAAUUAAGAUUCCCGUGAUGUUAAGGAUCAUUAGGAAAAAUGUGUAAUCAAAAAUGGUUAAAGUAAUCAGCAAUCGAGAAGCAGGUCCAAGUACAUUUGAGAAUGCGCUAUCUGUAUCUGUCUAAGAAGUACGGCUGCUGUUGCACAGUUUGAAUUUGAUGCUUAGGAUCAGCUGUGGUUAGUUUGUUCUUUUUCUAUCUCCAUCUUAUUAGCUAAAUUGCCCAAAAAAAAGAACAAACUAACCACAGCUGAUCC